ACUCAGAGCAAGUUUCCACACUUCUGUCAUUCAGGGCUGGAACAUCCUAUUGUAUGUAAUUCACUACCUAUCAAUAUGGGCUGGCUGCUUUGGCAUAACCCCAGCUUCUCUCUGGAUUUGAAGGGCCCAGCCAGGACCCAAGGAGUGGGUGGGUGGCAACAAUUAGCGCAAUACAAAGAGACUGCAAGCUGAUCAACCACUGCACCAGUACUUAGCCAAAUAAAGAGGUUGAAAUCCAAGGCACAGGGUCAGUAGUAAAUGCAGGUCAGCAGUCACUGCUAAAGACCCGUUGGGGGGAGGAGGUGCAGCAACAGUUACGUGCACCCGGAAUGUGACCACACGGAGUUAAUCGUAAGCUGCUCAUCUAGCUCUUUUUAGCUGGAGAUGCAAGAUGUGUGCCCUCCCUUAGAGAUGAUCGAAUCACAGACCUGCAGAAUUAGAAGGAAUCCUAAGGGUCCUCUGAGUCUAGUCCAACCCCCUGAAAUGCAGGUGGCCCUUAGGAAGAUCAAACCUGCAACCUUGGCAUUAUCAGCACCAGCUCUAACCAGCCAAGCUAACUAGUGCAGGGGGGCCUUCUUUUGUAGAGCUGCAGUGCGAGGCCUCCCAGAACCUCCUAACUUUGCCUGUGGGAGCCUGGAGGUCGGAGCCUCCCUUUCCAGCUCCAUAGAGAAGUGGGACCAUUUGGGGGCAGGGACCGUCAGUCUUUCCUGCUGCGAGGGGGACGCCUCAUUCUGGGGCCGAGAGGAGGCGAGGAGGCUCUGGCUCUGUUUGGCGGGUCCCGGGCUCGGGGGUCCCGGGGUGAGAGGCUAUGGAGACACACAAGAUCAUGCAGAGGACCCCUCAAGGGCCACGCCAUACACGUCUCCCCCCCCCAGCCCGGUCUUCGUCCCCAGGAGCGGCGAGGAGGGAGCGGCGAGGGGGCUCUGGCUCUGUUUGGCGGGUCCCGGGCUCGGGG